CAGUAGCCGCGGUAAUACAGAGGGUGCGAGCGUUAAUCGGAUUUACUGGGCGUAAAGCGUGCGUAGGCGGCUUUUUAAGUCGGAUGUGAAAUCCCUGAGCUUAACUUAGGAAUUGCAUUCGAUACUGGGAAGCUAGAGUAUGGGAGAGGAUGGUAGAAUUCCAGGUGUAGCGGUGAAAUGCGUAGAGAUCUGGAGGAAUACCGAUGGCGAAGGCAGCCAUCUGGCCUAAUACUGACGCUGAGGUACGGAAGCAUGGGGAGCAAACAGGAUUAGAGACCCCAGUAGUCCCUGUCUCUUAUAC
rnacentral:rRNA from 1 species